ensembl:miRNA
UGAAGAGACUGCUUUUACAAGGUCACAAUCAACAUUCAUUGCUGUCGGUGGGUUGAACUGUGGGCAAGCUCACUGAACAAUGAAUGCAACUGUGGCCCCGCAU